rnacentral:rRNA from 1 species
UACGAAGGGGGCUAGCGUUGUUCGGAAUUACUGGGCGUAAAGCGCACGUAGGCGGACUCUUAAGUCAGGGGUGAAAUCCCGGGGCUCAACCUCGGAACUGCCUUUGAUACUGUGGGUCUCGAGCAAGUCAGAGGUGAGUGGAAUUGCUAGUGUAGAGGUGAAAUUCGUAGAUAUUAGGAAGAACACCAGUGGCGAAGGCGGCUCACUGGGACGUUGCUGACGCUGAGAUGCGAAAGCGUGGGGAGCAAACAGG